CUUAGCCACAGAAUAAUUGGAUCAGAAUAGUUUUGGACUACGGCUCAUUAGAUCAGAUGUCACUUAUUCGGAAAUUCCUUCUGGAUAACUGCGCCAUAUUUGAAGCUGACAUACGGGUAAAUCCUGGCUUUCGGAAGGUACAAUUUUUCAAUCAUCUUCGGGUGUAGUUUGUUGCAUCCAAGUAACGGUGACUAUUGGCGGCAUUUCUACCAAUGUUCCGAAGAAAUGCCUACCCUACCAACCUGGUAGUAGUCUAUUAAUCUGUCAUGGCUAUUACGGGUGACGAAGAAUAGAGGUCUGACUUCGGAAAGUGAGCCUUAGAAACGACUUCCACAUGCAUGCGUGACUUAUCCACUCUUAAGCAAAGAGAUAGCGAAUUAGAAAAUACUUUUUUUUGGGAUGGUCAUCCCAAUGAGGUAACCGCUCUUUUCCAGAGAGUAAGAUGGAGGGCGAUUGUAAUUGGUGCCAGCAUCCGCGGUAAUCAUAGCCCCACUAG
rnacentral:ncRNA from 1 species